AGACGUGUCUAUGGGUAGACCAGGAGGAAACACAGGUCUAUGGAGGUAGAGUAAUGGACAGAAUCCUACCCUGUAGGUCUGGGAGGAGACCACAGACGUGUCUAUGGGUAGACCAGGAGGAAACACAGGUCUAUGGAGGUAGAGUAAUGGACAGAAUCCUACCCUGUAGGUCUGGGAGGAGACCACAGACGUGUCUAUGGGUAGACCAGGAGGAAACACAGGUCUAUGGAGGUAGAGUAAUGGACAGAAUCCUACCCUGUAGGUCUGGGAGGAGACCACAGACGUGUCUAUGGGUAGACCAGGAGGAAACACAGGUCUAUGGAGGUAGAGUAAUGGACAGAAUCCUACCCUGUAGGUCUGGGAGGAGACCACAGACGUGUCUAUGGGUAGACCAGGAGGAAACACAGGUCUAUGGAGGUAGAGUAAUGGACAGAAUCCUACCCUGUAGGUCUGGGAGGAGACUACAGACGUGUCUAUGGGUAGACCAGGAGGAAACACAGGUCUAUGGAGGUAGAGUAAUGGACAGAAUCCUACCCUGUAGGUCUGGGAGGAGACCACAGACGUGUCUAUGGGUAGACCAGGAGGAAACACAGGUCUAUGGAGGUAGAGUAAUGGACAGAAUCCUACCCUGUAGGUCUGGGAGGG